rnacentral:rRNA from 1 species
GUAGGUGGCAAGCGUUGUCCGGAAUUAUUGGGGCGUAAAGCGCGCGCAGGCGGUUCUUUAAGUCUGAUGUGAAAGCCCACGGGCUCAACCGUGGAGGGUCAUUGGAAACUGGAGAACUUGAGUACAGAAGAGGAAAGCGGAAUUCCACGUGUAGCGGUGAAAUGCGUAGAGAUGUGGAGGAACACCAGUGGCGAAGGCGGCUUUCUGGUCUGUAACUGACGCUGAGGCGCGAAAGCGUGGGGAGCAAACAGGAUUAGACUACCCUGGUAGUCCACGCCGUAAACGAUGAGUGCUAAGUGUUAGGGGGUUUCCGCCCCUUAGUGCUGCAGCUAACGCAUUAAGCACUCCGCCUGGGGAGUACGGCCGCAAAGGCUG